AGAGACGAACGCGUGGCGGCGAGGUACUUAACACAUGACAAGUCGAGGCGGGCGUAGACAAUACGUCAGGCGGCAAACGGGUGAGUAACGCGUGGGAACAUACCUUUUGGUUCGGAACAACACAGGGAAACUUGUGCUAAUACCGGAUAAGCCCUUACGGGGAAAGAUUUAUCGCCGAAAGAUUGGCCCGCGUCUGAUUAGCUAGUUGGUGAGGUAACGGCUCACCAAGGCGACGAUCAGUAGCUGGUCUGAGAGGAUGAUCAGCCACAUUGGGACUGAGACACGGCCCAAACUCCUACGGGAGGCAGCAGUGGGGAAUAUUGGACAAUGGGCGCAAGCCUGAUCCAGCCAUGCCGCGUGAGUGAUGAAGGCCCUAGGGUUGUAAAGCUCUUUUGUGCGGGAAGAUAAUGACGGUACCGCAAGAAUAAGCCCCGGCUAACUUCGUGCCAGCAGCCGC
rnacentral:rRNA from 1 species